AUGGAGGUUAUUCUCAGUUGGGUUACUCUUGUUGCUGUUUUAAAAGGUGUCCAUUGUGAUGUGCAGCUGGUGGAGUCUGGGGGAGGCUGGUGCAGCCUGGGGGAUCUCUGAGACUCUCCUGUUCAGUAUCUGGAUUCACUUUCAGUAGACAUGGCAUGAACUGGGUCCGCCAGGCUCCAGGGAAGGGGUUUGAGUGGGUCUCAUCCAUUAGUUAUGAUGGUAGUAGCACAAGCUAUGCAGAAUCUGUGAAGGGCCGAUUCACCAUCUCCAGAGACAAUGCCAAGGACAUGCUGUAUCUGCAAUUGAACAGCCUGAGAGCUGAGGACACAUCCAUAUAUUACUGUGCUAGAGACACAGUAAGGAGAUGUCAGUGUGAGCCUAGACAUAAACUUCCCUGCACGGACUCUGGGUUGAAAUCAACUGCAGGUGAUAAGCAGGAUUCACUGGUCAGAGUCAAGCCCACAA